AAUAAGCGAAGUUGUGGGUUUUAGUGUCCAACUUUGACCGUCCGUCUUAUUUGAAAUUUUUUAUUACUAUUUUUAUUGUUAUUAGAUGAUAAAAUAUAAAUAUUACUUUAUGCGUGACUUAAUUUUUUAAAAAAAUUCAUAAAUUUUUCAAAUAAGACGGAUGGUCAAACGUUGGACACGGAAACUUACGGCUGCACUUAAA
rfam:Oryza glaberrima chromosome 8 Oglab08_0095_4, whole genome shotgun sequence.